AGCAAACCCUAGACAGCAGAGUAAGACGCUAUCCCACAUAACCACGUUCACAGUUUCACACUAUCGACUUAUCGAGUCACUCUCAAACAUAUAGGCCGCCUCUCUCUCAAACCCGUUGUUCCUUCAUCAGAGUCCAGAUCGCCUCUCUCAGCCACCACCUACGGCAGACGACCAAACUCUAUCCCAGUAUCCCGUAGGAUCGAGGCGAGCUUGCGACGAGUCGAAUCGAAGAUCAAGGUGGAGUAGAUGCGAGACGAGCUGAGGCUGUGAUGUUGAGCGAGGCGAGCUGAGGACGAGUCGGAUAGAAGAUCGAGGUGGAGUAGACGCGAGGAGAGGUGAGGCUGUGAUGCUGAGCGAGGAGAGCUGAGGACGAGUCGGAUUGAAGAUCGAGCCUGGGGAGCUUGCGACGGAUCGAAGAUCGAGGAGCUUGCGACGGAUCGAAGAUCAAGGAGCUUGCGAGGCGAGCUGAGGGCCUGAGGCUGUGAGGAGCUGCUGUUAUAAUUCUCAGGUUGACGCGAGCUGGGUUUGAAUGUUCUUGUUGGCGCAAGCUGGGUUUGAAUCUCUCUCUGCCUCUCGAAAUCUCACAAUUCUUCCUUGACGCGAGCUGGGUUGAUGAGGUUCUUUGUAUUAUCCGACGAAAAAGCCUAUUUCUCCUGUUGAUUUUAGUAAGAGAUGAAGGAAGUUUAGCUUAAGAAGGCAGUUUGUAAGUGUUAAACCAAAAACACUUCAAUUUUUGUUAGAAAGAUUGCAACUUCUGUGAAUUGAUGAAGAGUUUUUGUAGCCUCAGUCUCAGUGCAAUUUCAAUGAGAAUGCGUAAUUAAAGGUUUUGUGGGAUUUGUAGUUAUUCACAGUUCACUUAUUGUCUUAUUUGUAAUGAGCUCAGGUUCUCAAGUAGCCUAUUCUCAAGACUCAAGUAUGAAUGUAUGAUGAUUGGAGUUGUUUUUCA